UACGAAGAGUGCAAGCGUUACUCGGAAUUACUGGGCGUAAAGCGUGCGCAGGCGGUGAUGUAAGACAGAUGUGAAAUCCCCGGGCUCAACCUGGGAACUGCAUUUGUGACUGCAUCGCUGGAGUGCGGCAGAGGGGGAUGGAAUUCCGCGUGUAGCAGUGAAAUGCGUAGAUAUGCGGAGGAACACCGAUGGCGAAGGCAAUCCCCUGGGCCUGCACUGACGCUCAUGCACGAAAGCGUGGGGAGCAAACAGG
rnacentral:rRNA from 1 species